rnacentral:lncRNA from 10 species
GCCAUGCCAGAGUAGUGAAUGAGAGGCCACAUCAUGCUGAACAAGAGCCGAGAAGUAGAAUCGCCAGUGUCAAGCCGUCCACGUUGUGGGAUGCCCACUGUUCCCCCAGGAUCACUCAAGACCCUGUGACUUGUGGUCACUGAUGAGUGGACCAAGUGAAGUCCACAAGAUGGCUGCUGUGGCUCCAGGCAUCACGUCCACAUGCAAAUCCAUCCAGAGGCAGGAACUGGGAAUAGGCUUGGAGGUGGCCAGGACAGCAAGUGGGCUGUCUGUAUAAACCUCCCCUCCACUUGGGAAGGAAAAUCACCCCCCAAGUCGAUUUUCUGUCCAUCUUAUUGAUCAGAGAGCGUUAUAAAUUCACCCAUUAAAUAAUCUGGACAAG